ACUGCUUCUCGGCCUUUUGGCUAAGAUCAAGUGUAGUAUCUGUUCUGAUCGGUUUAAUAUCUGAUACGUCCCUUAUCUGGGAUUCAUAACAUUAAAAAUGUUUUGGGAUCAGGGAGCUGGAAUAGGGGCUUGCUCCGUCCAUGCAUCGACCUGGUAUUGCAGUAUUUCCAAGAACGGUGCAUCUCUU